rnacentral:piRNA from 1 species
AGGNGCCUGGAUUUCAUGAACAAGCCUU